rnacentral:ncRNA from 1 species
UAGCUGUCUGAAGGAGACAAAUUUGGCAGUCCCCUUGAUUAGGAAGAAAGUCCCCAUGGCUUCUAAGCCCACACACACCACAUAAGUCAUGGCUCCCACCUUGUGCUUUUAAAAUGAGGCCUAAAUGU